ACGGAAGGCAGCAGUGAGGAAUAUUGGUCAAUGGACGAGAGUCUGAACCAGCCAAGUAGCGUGCAGGAUGACGGCCCUAUGGGUUGUAAACUGCUUUUGUACGGGAAUAAAGUGACCUACGUGUAGGUUUUUGCAUGUACCGUAAGAAUAAGGACCGGCUAAUUCCGUGCCAGCAGCCGCGGUAAUACGGAAGGUCCGGGCGUUAUCCGGAUUUAUUGGGUUUAAAGGGAGCGUAGGCGGGCUUUUAAGUCAGCUGUGAAAUCCUGCGGCUCAACCGUGGAAUUGCAGUUGAUACUGGGAGUCUUGAGUGCACGCAGGGAUGCCGGAAUUCGUUGUGUAGCGGUGAAAUGCUUAGAUAUGACGAAGAACUCCGAUCGCGAAGGCAAGUGUCCGGAGUGCGACUGACGCUGAGGCUCGAAAGUGUGGGUAUCAAACAGGAUUAGAUACCCUGGUA
rnacentral:rRNA from 1 species